rnacentral:rRNA from 1 species
GAAACCUGCGGCAAGGAUCAUUUA